GGCUUGCCACAGUUCCAUGCCUCUCCCUCUUGAUUGGCAAACCAUCAUCCUUAGGUUCUGGGUCCUUCUUAACUUCCUGACCAAAAUUGUCAGGGAAC